rnacentral:rRNA from 1 species
CAAGCAAGAAGACCCGCUGAAUUUAGCAUAUAUUAAGCGGAGGAAAAGAAACUAAC